rnacentral:rRNA from 1 species
ACCUACCCUUGACAUGUCUGGAACCUUGGUGAGAGCCGAGGGUGCCUUCGGGAGCCAGAACACAGGUGCUGCAUGGCUGUCGUCAGCUCGUGUCGUGAGAUGUUGGGUUAAGUCCCGCAACGAGCGCAACCCUCAUCAUUAGUUGCUACGCAAGGGCACUCUAAUGAGACUGCCGGUGACAAACCGGAGGAAGGUGGGAUGACGUCAAGUCCUCAUGGCCCUUAUGGGUAGGGCUUCACACGUCAUACAAUGGUCGGUACAGAGGGUUGCCAAGCCGCGAGGCGGAGCCAAUCCCACAAAGCCGAUCGUAGUCCGGAUUGUUCUCUGCAACUCGAGAGCAUGAAGUCGGAAUCGCUAGUAAUCGCAGGUCAGCAUACUGCGGUGAAUACAUUCCCGGGUCUU